CCUACGGGAGGCUGCAGUGGGGAAUAUUGGGCAAUGGGCGAAAGCCUGACCCAGCGACGCCGCGUGAAGGACGAAGGCCUUCGGGUUGUAAACUUCUUUGGGGAGGGACGAAAAUGACGGUACCUCCAGAACAAGCCACGGCUAACUACGUGCCAGCAGCCGCGGUAAUACGUAGGUGGCAAGCGUUAUCCGGAUUUACUGGGUGUAAAGGGCGCGCAGGCGGCCCCAAAAGUCAGAUGUGAAAGAUCAAGGCUUAACUUUGACAUGUCAUCUGAAACUUUGGGACUUGAGUAUCAGAGGGGAAAGCGGAAUUCCUGGUGGAGCGGUAAAAUGCGCAGAGAUCAGGAGGAACACCGGUGGCGAAGGCGGCUUUCUGGCUGACAACUGACGCUGAGGCGCGAAAGCGUGGGGAGCAAACAGGCUUAGAUACCCUAGUAGUC
rnacentral:rRNA from 1 species